GUUACUGUGGUUCCUGAUGCCAACACUGUUAAGAAAUGACUGCUAAAUGAAAAGACAGCUCAACAUAACUUAUUCUCAACCUGGCAAGACCCCUAAUACUGGGCACAGCAAAGUAUGGACCUCAGACCAUCUGGUGACCUUCAGAUAACACAGGAAUGCACAACGCUCCUAGUCUUCAGUCCUGGGCACCAACUAACACAAAGCAUAUAAAUUGCUGUGAGGUUUAACUUGCAGAGAAGUAAUCAUUUGUCUGAAGAGCUGGAACUAGCCUUGGAGGUCAAGGUCCAUUGUCUAUAAUGACCAACGAAGGGGAAAGGAGCCACAUAUGCUGGAAGAUGAAAAGUUCACGCAUCUUAGCACUCCGGCCUGGUUCUGUCCCUCCUGCCUAUUAAAAAAAAAAAAAAAAGCCCUUUGU